rnacentral:rRNA from 1 species
UGAAGGGCCGCGGUAUUUUGACCGUGCAAAGGUAGCAUAAUCAUUAGUUCUUUAAUUGUGAUCUGGAAUGAAUGGCUUGACGAGACACGAGCUGUCUUAAGUUGUGAAUAUUUUAUUGAAUUUGGUUUUUGAGUUAAAAUUCUUAGAUGUUUUUAUGGGACGAGAAGACCCUAUAGAGUUUAACAUUUGGUCUAUUUUUCUUAUUGUUUGUUUUGUUUAAUUGAGUGGGCUUAUAUGUUUUGUUGGGGCGAUGAGAGGGAUAUAGUUUAACCCCUCUUUAUUUUGGUUAUAUUAAUUUAUAGUUGCUUGAUCCAUUAAUUUUGAUUAUAAGAUUAAAUUACCU